AUUGAACGCUAGCGGGAUGCCUUACACAUGCAAGUCGAACGGAGUGGCGAACGGGAGAGUAAUGUAUCGGAACGUGCCCAGUAGCGGGGGAUAACUACGAGAAAGCGUAGCUAAUACCGCAUACUAUUGGAGCGGCCGAUAUCGGAUUGGCUAUUUGGUGGGGUAACGGCUCACCAGGGCGAGGAUCCGUAGCUGGUUUGAGAGGACGACGAGCCACACUGGGACUGAGAAACGGCCCCGACGCCUACGGGAGGCAGCAGUGGGGAAUUUUGGACAAGGGGGGAAACCCUGAUCCAGCCAUCCGGCGUGUGCGAUGAAGGCCUUCGGGGUGUAAAGCACUUUUGGCAGGAAGGCGGUACCUGCAGAAUAAGCACCGGCUAACUACGUGCCAGCAGCCGCGGUAAUUC
rnacentral:rRNA from 1 species